GGAAUCUUCCACAAUGGACGCAAGUCUGAUGGAGCAACGCCGCGUGAGUGAAGAAGGGUUUCGGCUCGUUAAAGCUCUGUUGUUAAAGAAGAACGUGGGUAAGAGUAACUGUUUACCCAGUGACGGUAUUUAACCAGAAAGCCACGGCUAACUACGUGCCAG
rnacentral:rRNA from 1 species